GACUGCAUGGCAUAGUGGUUUGAGUACUGGACUAGGACUCUGGUAAACCAGGGUUCAAAUCCCUGUCUAGCCA